rnacentral:rRNA from 1 species
AUGUCAGGCUCUAAUCAGAUGGCUUCAGAUGGUAAAUUUGGAAAAGGUCCUCGGGAGCUCACUGGGGCUGUUGAUUUAAUUAGCCGCUACAGGCUGCUGAACCAUCACAGUUUCUUUUGUAAGAAACCAUUGCCACUGGCUAUCUCAGAUACACAUUAUCUUCAGAAUGUUGUGGGUGACACUGAAAUCCGUAAAGGAGAAGGGAUGGAGAUAGAUCAACUCAUUCAGAAUCCAGACCCGAGGGAGAAGAAGACUGCUUAUAUUAAACCCUUUGACAUGGAAACACUAGGGCACGCAUUUCAGUUGCGAGAAACAGCGCCAGUAGAUCUGCCUUCGGCUGAAAAAGGUACUCCGACUAUAUCGGGGAAUUCAAAGGUUAAGUCCAGGGACAAAGUCAAGAAGCAUAAAAAGCACAAGGCGAAAGACAAGGACAAGGAACAGAAGAAGCACAAACAUCGCCAUAAGGAUCGGAGUAAAGACAAAGACAAAGAGAAAGAGAAAGAGAAAGAGAAAGAAAAAGAGAAAGAAAAAGAGAAGGAGAAAGACAAAGACAAAGACAAAGAAAAGAAAAAAGAGAAGAGUGUGCAUCAUGAUUUGGGAGGUGAUAAUUCCAAAAAACAUCAUGAGAAGAAGAGGAAACAUGAAGGAAUGGAAAAUUUGGGGGCUGGACGUAACCACAAAAAAACACAAAAGCGCAAAAUUCAAUGA